rnacentral:rRNA from 1 species
AGAGUUUGAUUCUGGCUCAGAACGAACGCUGGCGGCGUGGAUAAGACAUGCAAGUCGCGCGGUUAGCGGUAGCAAUACCGUGAAAGCGGCGGACGGGUGAGUAACACGUGGGCAACCUGCCUCCAAGUUGGGAAUAGCCCGCCGAAAGGCGGAUUAAUGCCGAAUUGUGGCCAGGGGGGGCAUCCCCCUGAAGCCGAAGCCGGGGACCGCGAGGCCCGGCGCUUGGAGAGGGGCCCGCGGCCUAUCAGCUUGUUGGCGGGGUAACGGCCCACCAAGGCUACGACGGGUAGCUGGUCUGAGAGGACGGUCAGCCACACUGGAACUGAGACACGGUCCAGACACCUACGGGUGGCAGCAGUCGAGAAUCAUUCGCAAUGGGCGCAAGCCUGACGGUGCGACGCCGCGUGGAGGAUGAAGGGCUUCGGCUUGUAAACUCCUGUCACUCCGGAAAAAGGCGCCGGCCGGACAAUGGUUCGGCGCUUGAUGGUACGGGGAGAGGAAGGGACGGCUAACUCUGUGCCAGCAGCCGCGGUAAUACAGAGGUCCCAAGCGUUGUUCGGAUUUAUUGGGCGUAAAGGGCGCGUAGGCGGCCGGGUCAGUCUGGCGUGAAAUUCCGGGGCUCAACCCCGAAACUGCGCUGGAUACUGCUCGGCUGGAGGACUGGAGAGGUGGCCGGAAUUCACGGUGUAGCGGUGAAAUGCGUAGAUAUCGUGAGGAAGACCCGAGGCGAAGGCGGGCCACUGGACAGUACCUGACGCUGAGGCGCGAAGGCCGGGGGAGCAAACAGGAUUAGAUACCCUAGUAGUCCCGGCAGUAAACUGUGAGCGCUUGGUGUGGGGGGAUUCGACCCCCCCCGUGCCGGAGCCAACGCGUUAAGCGCUCCGCCUGGGGAGUACGGCCGCAAGGCUAAAACUCAAAGAAAUUGACGGGGGCCCGCACAAGCGGUGGAGUAUGUGGCUUAAUUCGAUGCAACGCGAAGAACCUUACCUGGCCUUGACAUGCGGUGUUCACGGGGUGAAAGCUCCCGGCCCUAACCGGCGAACCGCACAGGUGCUGCAUGGCUUUCGUCAGCUCGUGUCGUGAGAUGUUGGGUUAAGUCCCGCAACGAGCGCAACCCCUGCGUCCUGUUGCCACCCUCGCGAGAGGCGCACUCUGGACGGACUACCCUGUUUCAACGGGGAGGAAGGUGGGGACUACGUCAAGUCAGUAUGGCCCUUACGGCCAGGGCUGCACACGUACUACAAUGCCCAGCACAGAGAGACCCGAUGCCGCGAGGCGGAGGAAAUCAUUAAAACUGGGCUCAGUUCGGAUCGCGGGCUGCAACUCGCCCGCGUGAAGCUGGAAUCGCUAGUAAUGGCGCAUCAGCAUGUGGCGCCGUGAAUACGUUCCCGGGCCUUGUACACACCGCCCGUCACAUCAUGGAAGUCUUCUGCACCCGAAACCGGCGCGCCAACCGCAAGGAGGCAGCCGUCUAAGGUGUGGGCGAUAACUGGGAUGAAGUCGGGACAAGGUA